UACGGAAGGCAGCAGUGGGGAAUAUUGCACAAUGGGCGCAAGCCUGAUGCAGCCAUGCCGCGUGUAUGAAAAAGGCCUUCGGGUUGUAAAGUACUUUCAGUCGUGAGGAAGGUGUUAAGGUUAAUAACCUUAGCAAUUGACGUUAGCGACAGAAGAAGCACCGGCUAACUCCGUGCCAGCAGCCGCGGUAAUACGGAGGGUGCGAGCGUUAAUCGGAAUUACUGGGCGUAAAGGGCACGCAGGCGGUUAAUUAAGUUGGAUGUGAAAUCCCCGGGCUUAACCUGGGAAUGGCAUUCAAGACUGGUUAGCUAGAGUCUUGUAGAGGGGGUAGAAUUCCAUGUGUAGCGGUGAAAUGCGUAGAGAUGUGGAGGAAUACCGGUGGCGAAGGCGGCCCCUGGACAAAGACUGACGCUUAUGUGCGAAAGCUGGGGAGCAAACAGGGAUUAGAUACCCGU
rnacentral:rRNA from 1 species